GGGAAGAGAGAGAGAGAGAGAAAGGAAAAGAAAGAGAAAGAAAAGAAAGAAAAACUAGGCGCGGUCACGUGUGCACGCUUGGGCUCGUUACUGCUCAGAAUUUUAGAAUCACAGAUCCAGCAGUGAUCAGGCAGCUGCAGCUGUCAGGGACCACCACCACCUACGCGAUUGAUCCGUGGGAGAAGCCGUCCUACUCUUUUCUUUCUCCUUUGUCCUUCUCAUUCCUGACCCCUUCAGGAUUCUCAGUCUUCCCUCCGGGAGACUUUUGGCCAGUCUUGUCUCGCUCCAACCUCCUACCCCCACCCCAUUCCUCAGUGCAUUCGUGAAUUUCUCCAAGCAGGCCUUUCCAGAUCGACACUAAGUUCCAAUCCCGAGCUGUGUGACCCAGCACCAAUUCAGUCACGAUGAUGACUUGCAAUUGCUUAAUCAGUUGGCCUUUCCUCCUAGCUGUGAAGGUUUUACCGUGCAGGAUUGCAAACACCAGAGAGAAAAUCAGUCUCUGGAAUGAUGCCUUUGAUGGACCAAGAUGCAGCUGAUGAAGCAUUGAACCAAUUAGCACCUAGCAGGAGGGCACCCUUGCUCUGUGUCCUUGAAGGUUAAAGCUGUCAAAAAGUGGUCUCCCUCAAGUUCGGCCAUCUUGCUCUCAGAGAUCUAGAACUGGUGACUCAGUCAAAAUUUUGGGCCAAGGAGACCGACGCGCUGUCGCCUGCACUAAGAGAAACGCAACGAACAACUUUGUCAAUGCAUUGCAUUAUACUAUAGCAGCAACUAUACUUUUAAAUGAUUCGAAUCUUGAGGUUUCAAACUGAACCGUCUUGUGCCUUUUGCCCGGCGGGCAUUUCUGCGGGGACCGCGGGUCACCUUCUGAAUUUUUACCUUCAUAAACAGCAAGGACUGCGCUCUUUCGCACGGCGCCCCGUUUUUUCGUAGAGUUCCGUCGGCCAAAACCACUUGAAACUCGCUCAGCGGCGUCGGGGCUCCAGCCAGGCGUCACCUUCCACAGCGAACCUGCGAACCACAGCGUCCCCUGGGGGUCUCCGUCCGCGUGGCCGCUUCCUCUUACAUCGGUGACGCAAGGGAAGGGCGUCUAGGAUCCGCCGGUUUCCUUCCUCACUGCUCCCAUCAGUGCGAAAGCAACGUGUUGGGGGUUCGGGGUGUGUGGCGGCU
rnacentral:lncRNA from 1 species